GAUUUCAAUUGAAAAAAAUCAUCAACAACAAAGUUGUAUAACUCAUCAAGAUCUAUAACUUUUAUUUUGGUCAUUUCUUCAUCCGAUAAAGUGAUAGUAACAUUGUUUAUAAAAUUUACAUCUCUCAUUUGGUUUUAUAAACUAUUAGAGAGAGAUGUAAAUUUUGUGAACAAUAUUACUAUCACUUUGUCGGAUGAAGAAAUGACCAAAAUAAAAGUUGUAUGUCUUGAUGAGUUCUACAACUUUUAUGUUCAUGACUUUUUCAGCUGAAAUU
rnacentral:pre_miRNA from 1 species